rnacentral:rRNA from 1 species
AAUUGGACCUGAUAUCAGGCAAGA